UGUUGACAUUAUAGUUGUGCAGGCACUUUGUUCACUCUAGAGAACCUCGGGCCAAUCGCACAUCCCAGUGAUGACGACUUUGCAUUCGGAUGUCAUCCAUAUCAACUUUCGAUGCCAGUUUCUGCGCCUACCAUGGUGACCAUGGGUAACAGUGAAUCAGGGUUCCAUUCCGUACAGGGACCCUGAGAAACGGCUACCACAUGCAAGGAAGGCAGCAGGCACGCAAAUGACCUACUCCCGACGCGGGAAGGUAGUGACGACA